CCUCCCUUAAUUUUCCCAAAUCCUUUUUCUCCCGAUUUCUAGAAAAAACCCUAACUUUAUCCUCCAAUAUUCUCCCAUCUUAUGCUUUGCUCCAUUCGUGCGUCGCUCCGUCUCACGUCUGCUCCAUCGCAAAUCAUCGGUUCGUGCCCCGCUCCGUCUCAAGCCCUACUCUAUCGUUCGAUUUGUCCGUUCGUGUGUCGUUGUUCUGUUCGUUUGUUUGUGCAUCAUCAUUCCGUUCGUGGGCUGCUUCAUUUCCUCCAGAAGCACCGUGCACGGCCGAGGACAGUUAGCAUCCAUUCACAUCCAUUCAUUUCAUCCACAGGCACAAUUGAUGUGAAGCCUCUUUUUUGUCGCUUUUGGAAUCGAUCUGAUUCUUCUUUGAAGUGGCUGACCAGACCCACACGAAGCCUUCACGCACAGACACUAUCAAAGACAUUCAAGCACAGGCCAGUGCUGAGAUAUUCUCCUUACACAUGGAGCCAACGAUAGUAAGAGACGAUCAAGAUAAGGAGGUUGGUGGACGAUUAGUUAUUAGAGGAGCUGAUAAACAAAAUGUAGAAAAUCCUAAACAACAAAGAAGGCGGGGGCCUACGAUUAUGUUUGAUAUGACACGUGUUCAAAGUGAAGGUGAGAGAAAAUUGGUGGAAUACAAUGAAGAUGGCGUACCCAUUGGAGAAAAUGGGGUAAAACUAAACUUUUUUAUUGGAUUGUGUGUACACUACCACAUCCCCAUUAUCUAUGCAUCAUGGACAGAUGUUCUACAGAAUUGAAGGAAAAGAUAUAUACCAUAGUUGAGGUAAAUUUGCUUAUCGUUUUUGUACAAGUUUAUUUCAAUUGACAAUAUGAUACUAAUUGAUCUCCAAUCUCAGGUUGCAUUUAUAAUCGAUAAUAGGUCUAGAAAGACCAUUCUUAAGACUGUAUGGACAACAUUCCAUGAAUUUAAGCAUUGGUUAACGAAGAGGUAUAUCUUGCCUUUUCAGAAAUAAACCUGAAUUCUUGAGACGACCACUAGACAUAUAUUCUUACAUUAACAAAAAACAAUAGGAAGAAUUUGUUAGAUCUAGACUUUGUCCAUAUUUUGAGGUAUCAAUGAAUUUAUUUAUAUUUUAGAUAUUAAAUAUUUGUUAAGAAACUUACUUUAGAAAACCCCAAUAGAAUGUUAUAUUUGUGUAGGAGAUUAUGCUAAUCUUUGAGAGGAAUUGGUAAGAAAUAGUUUAUGUUUGAAUUUUUCUUAAAUGCUUCUUAUUCAAUGUAAUGAAUGUAUAUGUUGAAAUUUAGAAAAAUAUACCUUCAGAAGAAGGUGAUCUUGACCGAGCUGGCAUGUGGAACAAGACUUGUGUAGAUAAGAAGGGACAACUACGACAAUGAAGAUCUCCAAGAAGUUGUGAAUCGUAUAGAUGAGAUCUCAAAGCUUGUGGUGACAAAAAGUCGUCUCCAAACGAUGUUUUGACAUAAGCUUUAGGUACACAAGAGAGUAGUAGACGUGUAAGUUGGCAGGUUUGUUAGCCAAACUGCUUACUUCCACACAGCAAAAUGCUCAAAGAAAUGGAGUGGAGAAAUUGAGAAGCUUAGUCAAGAGAAUGAAAAGUUUUGUUUGAGAGUUCAAGAAUUAAAGAAUAUUGACAUAUCAAUAUAAUCUACACUGACGUCUGCACAUGGAUUUUGCUCUAUACUAAGAUUGGAAUACGAUAUUCAAUGUAAAAGAAUCUGAAAAAUGAGAAAAUGAAUGUCACAACGAAGGUGAUUAAAGAGGUGAAUGUGGAUGUGAUUAUUUUGAAUGAUCAACAUGAGGAUGUGUAACGCCCCCAAAAUUAAGAUAAUUUUGAAGUUAAUUAUCUUAGUUUUGUUUAAUUAGAUUUAA